AGAUCAUGAAUUACAAGCAUAGCAUCAUCAACGGUGAUUGCAAGGAAAACUUCUGCAAUCCCUGCGGUUUUUCCUCUUGGUAAAUACGUUCUGGACGUGACCAAGGGUGGUCUUCCAAAUCAGCCGGAACCCCCACACAUCUAUUACAAGACGCACUCUUUCGAAAUCUCUCGCUGCUGCUGCAGUAAUAAGUGUGGCUGCAAUAUAUUGGCAUGUUAAACAUUUUUAUUUGUAUUUGAGGGAGCAUCUGACAGCCCACUUGCGUACAUAAAUAAAAAAUACAAAACAUGACGAGGGGCUUGAAAUUGAAGAUGAUGAAGAUGUACUCUUCCCUUGUUGGAAACUGAGAACAUGAAGCUAAAGCAUCAAUUAGCAAUUCUGAAUAAGGCUAUUGUUUCAGAACAAAACGUCGCUACACUGCUGUUUUUGGUAAAUACAGUGACGAGCAAAACUGUAACCUGGAGUAACACUUUUUAUUGCAGCCGUCGAUAUCUUUCCAAGU